rnacentral:misc_RNA from 1 species
GAUGAAGAACGCAGCGAAAUGCGAUAAGUAAUGUGAAUUGCAGAAUUCAGUGAAUCAUCGAAUCUUUGAACGCACAUUGCGCCCGCCAGUAUUCUGGCGGGCAUGCCUGUCUGAGCGUCAUUUCAACCCUCAUGCCCCUAGGGCGUGGUGUUGGGGAUCGGCCAAAGCCCGCGAGGGACGGCCGGCCCCCAAAUCUAGUGGCGGACCCGUCGUGGCCUCCUCUGCGAAGUAGUGAUAUUCCGCAUCGGAGAGCGAUGAGCCCCUGCCGUUAAACCCCCAACUUUCCAAGGUUGACCUCAGAUCAGGUAGGAAUACCCGCUGAACUUAAGCAUAUCAAUAAGCGGAGGA